rnacentral:rRNA from 1 species
UGGCGGACGGGUGAGUAAUGUCUGGGAAACUGCCCGAUGGAGGGGGAUAACUACUGGAAACGGUAGCUAAUACCGCAUAACGUCGCAAGACCAAAGAGGGGGACCUUCGGGCCUCUUGCCAUCGGAUGUGCCCAGAUGGGAUUAGCUAGUAGGUGGGGUAACGGCUUACCUAGGCGACGAUCCCUAGCUGGUCUGAGAGGAUGAUCAGCCACACUGGGACUGAGACACGGUCCAG